AGGAAUGCUUGUAGGGCCUGCGGCCAAGGUCUCACAGGAUCCCAUGCCUGCCCAGGGAGGUUCAUCGGUAGAAGGAGAUCAGUGGGCAGAGAGCCCUGGGCCAGUGCACUCCAGCUCUACUCCGACUCUGGCUGGUCUCACACUGGCUUUUCCUGCCCCACAGAGUGUUCAGUGAGGUCUGCAGGACUAUGAAAAGAACACUCAAAGCUCCUUCUAAUCAGUUCUAGAAAACGAUGCCAAGCCGGGCACCAGCCAUGGGAUAUGGGCACCAAAACGGGCAUAAUAGAAGCACAGACCCAGAGGUCCAUCCCAGCCAGAGGCCAGGCAGCAUCCUGCAUACAGGCCCAGAAAGGAAACCUACUUUCUCACAGCUCUGGAGGUUGGUGUGAAUUAUAAGAGUUGUAAGGCUACCUCCAAUGUCAGGAGAGAGGGGAGAAGCUGUGGCUCUAGGGUGGAGACUAUACCUGAUGCAGGUUAAGACCUAGAGGUCUGCUGCAGCCGAAGCCCUAGACCCAGGAUGGACACAAGACUAUUCAGGGUGAGGGCCAGAGCUGCAGAGUUCCUCAACUCGUGGAGAUAGAAGUUGCAGGCCAGGGGAGUAGGCCAAGUGCCCUGAUGGGAUAAGGGCAGGAGCCCCAGGGAGGAAGAAGGUAAAGAGGACCAAGGGUUAGGCUCACAGACACAGGAGGUCCCAUGGAUACAGGGAGGAAACCAACUACUACAUUUUAAUUCUAUCUCCAAUGCUGUAAAUGUGCCCCGCUGAGAGAAGAAAGGAGACAUGAAUGUAAAAAUAACAUUUGAAGGCAAGAAAGAAAAAACACAACUAACUUGACGUAUGCAAGUCCUAGCUUAGAGAAACAAAAAACAACUUUAAAAAAAAAAAUUAAGAUUGCUUUGUCUUCUCCAAAGAGUACCCAUUUCACCGGUGAUGACUCCCAGUGAGACAAAGAAGUUGCAAAGAAUAUUCAUAACUCUGCUCGAGCAACUCGAGGAAAAUGUGAAUGCACUCCAAAAUGGAACAAACAUACAGAUCUGAAUGAAAUAAAGAAGUCAAUCCAAGAUAUGAGAAUAGAAUUCAAUACAGAGAUAAACUUGCUGAAGGAAAACAACAAGCCAAAAUGAGACUUGAAGUUAAAAACCCAACGAAGCCACACUCAAAGCUCAGUGGAAAUCCCCAUCAACAUGAUGCCGUGUGCAAAGAGAGUGUCGAGACUUGAUGACAAGAUGGGGGACUGCACCAUUCAGGAAAGGUUCAGGAUGAAUUUUGAGAAAUAGGAGCAGAACAUGGACGAACUCUGGGACAGCCCAGAAAGAGAAAUCCCCCAAGACAAGGAAUUUAUGAACACCAAUCCAGCUCUCAGCUCUACAGAGGAAAAUGGAAGGGUUACUUGAACAUUUAAAGAAGGGUAAACACACCAAAUAGGCUAUGGUCCCAAGACAACUAAUCAAAGAGAUCUAAGAAAAGACUGAAAUAUUUAAAUGACAUAAAUUAGUGCAUAUAUUUCAAUAAAAACUCUAGAUGUUAAUGAUCUCAAUUCCCCCAAUAGUAAAAUACAGAUUUGAUUGGGAAACAAAUGUCUCUCUUUCUUAAUCCUUUCUUCUUCUCCUCCUCCUCCUUCUCCUUCUCCCUUUCCUUCUCCUUCCUCUUCCUCUUCCUGUUCCUCUUCCUCCUCCUCCGUCUCCUUCUUCUCCUCCUUCUCUUCCUCCUCUUCCUCUUCUCUUCCUCCUCCUCUGCUCUUUUCUUCCUCCCCCUCUCCUCUUCCUCCUCCCCCUCUCCUCUUCCUCCUCUUCCUCUCCUCUUCCUCCUCCUCUUCUCUUCCUCCUCCUUCUCCCCUCUUCCUUCUUCUCCUCCUUCCCCCAAAGAGCACACUUUAUCAUGAACGGUUGACAUCACCUUAGGGUGGAAGGAUGGAAAAAGUAUCUGGAAAAAUAAAUGGAACUCAGAGACAAGGUGCUGCUCUUCUGAUAUCUAAUGAGUAGAUUGCAAAUUAAAAGAUGUUCAAGGAAGAUGAAGGUUUCUCCAUUCUCCAUCAGUUAAUCCAUCAAGAGGAUAAUAUGAGUCUAAACACAUGUCAAUAGAAAGAGAAAGACUUUCUGAACAGGGUGAAGUUCUUCUGAAAAUAAAUCAACAAAUGAAACCUUAUAGAUUUCUUUUUGUUUGUUUGCUGUUUUUAAUUUUUUUCCUUAUAAAUUUCUAAAAACCUCUGUACUUUAAAAGUAACUGCCCAAGUCCAGAGGCAUCUCACAGAGAAGGGAGAAUUUUUGGCCAGCUAUGUUUCUGAUGAGGGGUUAGAAUAGAAAAAGAACAACCCUUCAACAAAAAACAAACUACUUAAUCUAAAAGUGGGCUAUGGAAUUGGACAGAGAACUUUCAAGAGCAGAAAUAUAAAUGAUUGCUAAAUAUUUUUAGUUUUCUACCUUAGUCAUCAGGGAAAAUGCAAAUUAAAACUAUUUUGAGAGUUCAUCUCUCCCCAACAGAGUAGCUACCACUAAGCAAACAACAAUAGUGGUGAGGAUGUGGGGAAAGGGGAAGAACCAUUCACUCUGGAAGUGGCCGUAAUCUCAUGCAACCAGUAUGGAAAGCCAGUAUGGAGGUUUUUCUCAACAUGACAAACUGAACUGCCAUAUGGUACAGCUACACCACUCCUGUGCAUUUGCUCAAAGGGAUCCAUCGCAUACCAGAGAUACAUGCACAUCUAUGCUCUCUGCUGCUCCAGUCGCAAUAACUAAGACAUAGAAUGAGGUGAUUGUUUACACAGAUGAGCAAGUCAACU
rnacentral:lncRNA from 1 species